CAGCACAGCACGAAGAACCAC
rnacentral:misc_RNA from 1 species